AUCAAGGUCUGGACUGAGGACACUCCCCCGUGACCUCACACUCUGGGACAUGUUCUGGGUCCUGUGGCUUUGAAGAAUUUCUAGUGCUUUCAUCCUCUCCCUAGGGCUCCAUGGAAGAGAAUAUUUAUGCAUGACAACUUUCUUGAAGUAAAUUCUGCUGGGAGGGAGCUGCCCAAGUUCAGCCUGCCUGUGCUCAGCUCAAUGAGUGCUUUCCAGCAGCCUUGAAUUUCCAAGGGUUUCUCUGCUGGUCUUAAAGGUCUCUGUGAGCAGGGAACGUGCUGGCUGAGCAAGUCUCUGAGAAGAUAAUUCAACCAGGCUGUUGGAAGAUGUUGACUAAUUCCCAAUUGUUGCAAAAUCUGUGAAGAUCUAACGUCCCUGCAGGAAAUGCACGUCCCAGUGACCUCAUGGUACCCAAGGGCCAACCCCCUUCCAACUGGCCCUCUUUAAUGAGCCUUGCAAGUCCAGGUUGCCUAUAAUGCUUUACAAUUAUGAAGGAUAAUGCUACCAGGAAUAUCUUCAUCUGUGUGGCUUUUUCAUGGUCUGAAGCAUUCCUUCAAGAUCCAUGCUCUGAUAUUGUGAGACUGCCAGGAGCUUUGAUACACUGCACCAAACUGUUUGACCAGAGUUGAAGCAUUUAAUAAGGAUCCCGACAACAAACAAAACAGCCAGCUAGCACACUAAGGCCAGGAGCCUAUUUUGCU
rnacentral:lncRNA from 1 species